GUAGGUGGCAAGCGUUGUCCGGAAUUAUUGGGCGUAAAGCGCGCGCAGGCGGUUCUUUAAGUCUGAUGUGAAAGCCCACGGCUCAACCGUGGAGGGUCAUUGGAAACUGGAGAACUUGAGUACAGAAGAGGAAAGCGGAAUUCCACGUGUAGCGGUGAAAUGCGUAGAGAUGUGGAGGAACACCAGUGGCGAAGGCGGCUUUCUGGUCUGUAACCGACGCUGAGGCGCGACAGCGUGGGGAGCAAACAGGGAUUAGAUACCCUGGUAGUCCACGCCGUAAACGAUGAGUGCUAAGUGUUAGGGGGUUUCCGCCCCCUUAGUGCUGCAGCUAACGCAUUAAGCACUCCGCCUGGGGAUACGGCCGCAAGGCUG
rnacentral:rRNA from 1 species